CCCCCCCCCCCCCCCCCUCACAUUUCACCAAGCCCUAAUCGCCGAAAGAAGCCGCUCACGUCUGGCUGCUGGUCGUCACUCUCAAAGCUGUCGUCGAAGCCACCGUCUAGAGUAGUCACGCUUAGUCGUCAAAUCCCUAGCCGUCGGAGUUGCCGCGAGCCCGUCGUCGACGUUGUUCUUCAGUCGGGUCAUCUGUUGCCGCCUCGUUCAGAUCUUCUUCGCCGAACGUCUCGGCUGUGAACGAAGCCACGCCGCCCAUCUAUUCGCCUCAAACCCGCCAAAUCCAACAUCCAGUCGUCGAUUCCUUCUUAUUUCGCUAGUCGCCGCCGUCGGGAACUCCGCCAUCAGUGGGGUAUAGUGAUAAGGGCAAGGAUACUCAGGCGAAUGACAAGAAGAAUCAAAGGAACUAGAAUCGCUUCCGCAUUUGAACCUUUAUGUUUUCUCGCGUUUUUAUUUUAUUUUAUUUAUGAUUUUUCUUUUAUUAUUUACUUCAUGUUAACGGGUACUCGGGUCGAACGAUUUAAGAUCUUGAGAUAAUGGCAGAAUAGUUUCUUAUACACUUAAGCAGUCCAAAAUCAUGUUAUUUUAUUUUAUUUUCCUCAAUGUGAAUAUUUAUGCAUGCAUGCAGUAACGAUUCCCUUUUUAGUAGCCCUAAGAAGUGGGGUUGUUACAGUUGGUAUCAAAGCCAGUGUUUUGGGUUCUGUAGACUGACUUACUAUAUAAGUCCAGGUUGUUCCUUUUGGCCUAUAACGGAUUCUUCAUCGUCGCCAGGUAUGUCCUUUAUGAAAAGUAUCUAGGAUAAUAUGCACCCGAGUAUGUAGCAUUUAUGAUUACAUUUGAUGUGCUUUACUGGUAAGGAAAAUAGUUAAGGGGUGGUUGUGAACAAUUGUCAGGAAAUGGUAUAUGUUAAGGGAAGAGGCAGUCAUAGGGUUACUGGAAGGGGGUGCAUUCCCGAAGAGCAGAAUCCGACAGUUUAGGAUCAAGAUCCUUAUGAUGAGGAUCCACAAAUUCAAGAUGCACAAGUUCAGGAUCCUCUGGUACCCUUCUUUGCCGCCUAGGGACCCCUCGGAGUCAAGAUGGCAGCGAACCGAGACACGAAGUAGAGCCCAACAUACGACCAUGCCACCACAGACGCAGGCCACCUCAGUCGUUCCAUCAGAGUUUACCAAUUGAGCAACCACUAUUGGGGAAGUAGUCACGUCAACUUUGUUGAGUAAAGUGCAGGACAUGCUGGAUGAACGACUAGCCCAGUUUGCUUAGUUCCAACAAACACCACCACCGCAGGAUCAUAUGCCGCAUGUUCAAACUCAGAACAUGACUCAAAACCAAAGCAUGUCAGGCCUUUCGGUGGAGGCCAAACAUUUGUGAGAUUUUAGAAAGUACAACGCCAGCACCUUCAAUGGGUCACUAAAAGACCCUACCAACGCAGAGUUAUGGAUAUCCACGGUUGAAACAAUUUUCAAUUAUAUGAAAUGCCCAAAAGAUCAGAAAGUGAAAUGUGUCGUUUUCAUGCUCACUGAAAAAGCACAAAUUUGGUGGUAGUCGGCAGAAAGGAUGUUGGGCGUGGGAGGGGAACCGGUGACAUGGGAGCAGUUCAAAGAGUGCUUUUACACGAAGUACUUCUCUACCAACUUGAGAUACAAUAAGUAGAAAGAGUUCUUGGAGCUGAGGCAGGGACACAGGUCGGUGGAGGAGUAUGACCAGAAGUUUGACACCCUGUCCCGUUUUGCCCCGGAGCUGGUUGCUACGGAAGCUAUGAGGGCAGAAAGGUUCGUUCAAGGCCUAAAGGACAGUAUACAAGGUAUUGUGUGAGCCUUUAAACCAACCACUAAUGCUGAGGCACUUCGCUUGGCAGCUGAGGUGGACCCACAAUCGGGAGACGAACAUUCACGGGCAUUUAGGGCAGGACCUUCCUCAGGUUAGAAGAGGAAGGCAGAUCAGAAGGCUUUCGAGCCUCACCCCAUCAAAAGAUUCAAAGCUCAGACAGACCGCUUCGACACUUUAAGUAGCAGGCUGCCGAGGCAGGUAUGGUAGAAAGAAACCGAUCGGUGUGUAGCUCAUGUGGAAAACGUCACUGAGGACGUUGUUUGGUAGGCACCAGUGUUUGUUUUCAUUGCAAGCAGGAAGGGUACUUGAUAGAUAGAUGCCCUAAUAGAAACACGUCUAGUUACGAGAACUAGUUUGUAGGCCAUGAACAUAAGAGUUCGAAUAGGCCUCAGCAUCAACAAGGUCGUGUUUACUCAACCACCCGAUAGGAGGUCGAAGCACGCACUAUUGUGACAGGUACGCUCCCAAUCUUGGGACACUUUGUGCUUGUAUUGUUUGAUUCUGGUUCAUCCCAUUCGUUUAUAUCAUCGAUAUUUGUUAAGCAUGCCAUGUUAGAACUAGAGCCCUUGCACUAUGUGUUAUCGAUAUUCACUCUGUCUGGAGAAGUUAUGUUAGCAAGAGAGAAGAUAAAAGCAUAUCAAAUGGAAGUAGUGAGUCAUACACUGGAUGUGACUUUAAUAGUCUUGGACAUGUGGGAUUUUGAUGUGAUUUUGGGCAUGGAUUGGCUAGCUGCUAAUCAUGCCAGUAUAGACUGCUCUCGCAAUGAGGUGAUUUUUAACCCUACCACGGGAGCCAGCUUUAAAUUUAAAGGGGCGGGGACCGUGGUCCUGCCCAAAGUAAUUUCUGCCAUGAAAGCCUAGAGGUUGCUUAACUGGGGUACCUGGAGUAUCUUGGCUAGUGUUGUUCACAUUAGAGAGCCUGAGGUCUCCUUAACUUCGGAGCUAGUGGUACGAGACUACUCGGAUGUCUUUCCAGAGGAUCUCUCAGGUCUACCGCCGCAUUGGGAGAUAGACUUUGCUAUCGAGUUGGAGCCAGGCACAACUCCUAUCUUGAAAGCUCCUAACAGAAUGGCUCCAGCAUAACUGAAGAAGCUUAAGGUUCAGUUGCAAGAGUUUUUGGAUAAGGGUUUCAUCUACCUUAGUGUGUCCCCGUGAGGUGCACCGGUACUUUUUGUGAAAAAGAAAGAUGGGUCAUUACGUCUUUACAUUGACUACAGGGAAUUAAAUAAGGUGACUAUAAAAAACAAGUAUCCGCUUCCCAGGAUUGAUGACUUGUUUGACCAGUUGUAGGGAGCUACAAUGUUUUCUAAGAUUAAUCUUUGGUCGAGAUAUCAUCAGUUGAGGAUAAAGGACAGUGAUGUUCCUAAGACAGCUUUUCAUUCGAGGUAUGGGCAUUAUGAGUUCAUCGUGAUGUCAUUUGGGUUGACGAAUGCUCCUGCAGUAUUCAUGGACUUGAUGAAUAGGGUGUUUAAGGAAUUUCUUGAUACCUUUGUGAUAGUCUUCAUAGAUGACAUUUUGGUUUAUUCCAAGAUAGAGGUGGAACACGAAGAGCAUUUACGAAAGGUUCUAGAGACCUUGAGGGCGCAAAAGUUAUAUGCAAAGUUUUCCAAGUGCGAGUUUUGGUUAAAGCAGGUGUCCUUUCUAGGGCAUGUGUUAUCCAAGGAAGGUGUAUCUGUCAACCCUGUAAAGAUCGAGGAAGUUACGAGUUGGCCUCGUCCAACCACAGUCGGAGAGGUAUGUAGUUUCUUAGGGUUGGCGGGCUAUUAUCGUCGUUUUGUGAAGGAUUUUUCCCGUAUAGCCACCCCUUUGACCCAGUUGACCCGAAAAGGAGCUUCCUUUAUUUGGAGUAAGGCUUAUAAGGAUAGAUUCCAGGAUCUCAAGCAAAGGUUGGUUACUGCCCAGUUCUCACCGUGCCGGAUGGAACGGGUGGUUUUGUUAUUUAUAGUGACGCCUCCAAGAGAGGUUUGGGGUGCGUAUUGAUGCAGCAAGGUAAGGUAGUUGUUUAUGCCUCUUGUCAGUUAAAGAACCAUGAACGGAACUAUCCCACACAUGAUUUGGAAUUGGCAGUCGUGGUUUUUGCUUUAAAAAUCUGGAGGCACUACUUGUAUGGUGAGAAGAUACAGAUUUUCAUCGACCACAAGAGUUUAAAGUACUUUUUCACUCAGAAGUAGUUAAACAUGAGGCAAUAUAGGUGGUUGGAGCUAGUGAAGGACUAUGAUUGUGAGAUUCUGUACCACCCAAGGAAGGCAAAUGUAGUGGCGGAUGCUCUAAGUAGGAAGGUAACCCAUUCAACAACCCUUAUCACCACACAAACCUGGUUAUGUAAGGACCUUGAACGGGCUGAAAUAGCAGUGGUGGUAGGGGAGGUCUCUACAUAGUUAGCACAGUUAUCGGUACAAUCGAGUUUGAGGCAGAGAAGCAUUGAUGCUUAAUGCAGUUAUCCUUACCUGGUUGAGGUAGCGCAAUAGGUGAAGGCAAGGCAGGGUGGUGAGUUCUCCUUGUCCGUAGAUAAUGGUCUUACUUUUUGGAGACGCUUAUGUGUACCAGCAAACGAUGACCUCAAGAAUGAUCUGUUAUGGGAGGCUCAUAACUCCCCAUUUUCGAUACAUCCUAGCAGUACCAAAAUGUACCAAGAUUUAAAAUGUUGUUACUAACGGAAUAACAUGAAAGUGGAGAUAGCAGAGUUUGUCAGUAAGUGUUUGGUGUGUCAGCAGGUGAAGGCCCCAAGACAAAAGCCAACAGGCUUGUUGUAACCUUUGAACAUACCAGAAUGGAAGUGAGAGAAUGUCUCGAUGGACUUCAUUGUGGGAUUGUCGCGAACCGCGAAGGGUUUUACAGUGAUUUGGGUUAUAGUGGAGACUCACCAAGUUAGCACAUUUCAUUCCAGGGAAGCCUACAUAUUCAGUAAAUAGGUGGGCUCAGUUGUAUAUGAAAGAGGUGGUAAGAUUGCACGGGGUGCCGGUGUCCAUCGUAUCUGAUAGGGACCCUCGAUUUACCUCCAGGUUUUGGAAGAGCCUUCAAGCAGCAUUGGGUACUCAUUUGGAUUUCAGUACCGCUUUUCACCCACAAACUGACGGUUAAACAGAGCGUUUAAACCAGACACUGGAGGAUAUGUUAUGUGCUUGUGCGUUAGAGUUCGCAUGGAGUUAGGACUCUCACCUACAUUUGAUAGAGUUUGUCUAUAAUAAUAGUUAUCAGGCAACCAUUGACAUGUCGCCGUUUAAGGCCCUUUAUGGAAAUAGUUGUAGGUCACCCGUAUGUUGAGAAGAGGUUGGUGAAUGGAAAUUGCUAGGGUCUGAGUUAGUACAAACCAUGAAUGAGGCAAUACAGAAUAUUAGGGCCUGAAUGUUUAUGGCUCAAAGUAAGCAGUUACGCUGAUGUUAGGCAUAAAGAUCUCGAGUUUGAGGUAGGUGAAAAUGUGUUUCUGAAAGUGGCACCUACGAAGGAGAUGUUAAGAUUUGGCAAAAAGGGUAAGUUAAACCCUCGGUUUAUCGGCCCAUUUGAGAUCCUAGAAUGGAUUGGUCCUAUAGCCUAUUGGCUGGCCUUGCCCCCAUCCCUUUCUGCAGUUCACAAUGUUUUUCAUGUUUCCAUGUUGAGGAAGUACGUAGUAGAUUCAUCUCAUGUUGUGGAUUAUGAGCCUUUGCAUUUGAAUGAGAACCUGAGCUACGGAGAGAAACCCAUUCAAAUCUUGGCCAGGGAAGUGAAAGUUUUGCGCAAUAAGGAGAUAGCAUUGGUGAAGGUCCUUUGGUGGAAUCACCAGUUCGAGGAAGCAACGUGGGAGCGCGAGGACGACGUGAGGGCGCAUUAUCCCGAGCUUAUUUAGGAUUAGUACUUUCGAGGACGAAAGUUUCUUAAGGGGGAGUAGAAUGUAACACCCCGAUUUAUUUUGUAGUUAAGCUUUAAUUUAUUUUGUAAUUAAGCUUUAAUUUAUGUUGGACUACUUGGAUAAAUUAGAAUUGGAGAUUUAUGUAUUUGGCUAAGAUAAAAUACAAUUUAAUUAUUCGGAAUUAAUUAAGUUUUAAUUUGGCUUGCAUUUGGGAAUUUGAUUAUCUAUGGAGAUAAUUAAAUUUGUUUAUUGAAAGAUUUAAAAGAUAUAUAUAUAUAUAUCUGGAAGAGGAAUGGGGAAUUUGGAAUUUAAAAAGGAAAAA